rnacentral:rRNA from 1 species
GCGUAAGCGCGCGCAGGUGGUUUCUUAAGUCUGAUGUGAAAGCCCACGGCUCAACCGUGGAGGGUCAUUGGAAACUGGGAGACUUGAGUGCACAAGAGGAAAGUGGAAUUCCAUGUGUAGCGGUGAAAUGCGUAGAGAUAUGGAGGAACACCAGUGGCGAAGGCGACUUUCUGGUCUGUAACUGACACUGAGGCGCGAAAGCGUGGGGAGCAAACAGGAUUAGAUACCCUGGUAGUCCACGCCGUAAACGAUGAGUGCUAAGUGUUAGAGGGUUUCCGCCCUUUAGUGCUGAAGUUAACGCAUUAAGCACUCCGCCUGGGGAGUACGGCCGCAAGGCUGAAACUCAAAGGAAUUGACGGGGGCCCGCACAAGCGGUGGAGCAUGUGGUUUAAUUCGAUUCUACGCGAAGAACCUUACCAGGUCUUGACAUCCGGUGAAAACCCUAGACAUAGGGCUUCUCCUUCGGGAGCAGAGUGACAGGUGGUGCAUGGUUGUCGUCAGCUCUUGUCGUGAGA